CAGCAUAAGAAGUCAAGUCCCGUGUCAUGGACAUGCGCCACAAACCAUAUUUCUUGGCCGAUAUUUUAUUUAAUGUAGUAUUUUCUUCUUUUUGCAGAUGAAGAAGACCUGGGAAUGUUUUACACCUGCACUUUUCAUCCCCGAGCCCAUGCAUUGCUGAUAGAUAUCUGAGUACUUCAGCCCUGUUGUUCUCUGCAAUUGUUCUCUGUUAUUUCUCUGUAGAAGCUGCUGUGUGGGAGGCAGGAGGGACUUCCGCCAUGCCAAAAAACCACUCCAUACCUGCUUCAGCAUUCAGAGGCCAUCUCUAGGUGACCACACAUGCUGGUGUUGUUCCAUGACUGCUUUGGAAAGCACAGCCCUGUUCCUGGCUGUGAGAAACCUGGCACUGCUGAGUGAUGAAACUGCUGUUGUGCGUGAAAGUGAGCUGGAAAACAAAGAAUGCAACAAGACAGCGAGUUGGGUCAAGCAGCAUCACCACAGCAGGAGGCAUGCCUGGGAUGUGAGAUGAAAUAGGGCAUCCCUUUGACUUCAGCCUUCUUUCAGGACCUUCAAAUGAAGAAAAAUUGUGGUUGAAGGAGAAGCGUUCAAUGAAAUAAGGACCGAUGAGUACUUUUUUGUUGAGAUAAAACCGAGUUACUGCUGUUGAGUUACACCUCAGAUGGACUUGGCCACAAAGGCCAGAGAUGCGUUGUGAAAUCUGAUGGCAGAAGCAGCAAAACCAUCUGCUGGUGGUGAGUUUGUUGAGCAUGGACAGCAUCGGAGAUGCAAUUGGCCCUGAUUAAAAGGGGGGUUUCCCUCAAAUCUGUUGGUGUCAGUCAGCUCUUGCAGGGUGGUCUGAAGAAACAGACAAACCUGUGUAAAGCUGCUAUUUCAGGAGAUUUCCUUUGGCCGGAGAUGAAAUCCUUGAUGCUACAGAUACGACUCAACUCACUGUUUGCAUGGGAGGUAUUGAUACGAAGCAUGACGUCACUGAAGAAAUGGAUUCCUCGGUGCCAUCAAAAGACACAAAGAAAUCAAUAUGGAUGUGGACAAAGA